rnacentral:rRNA from 1 species
ACGUGAUCUGAGUUCAGACCGGAGUAAUCCAGGUCGGUUUCUAUCUAUAACAGAGCUUAUUCUAGUACGAAAGGACCGAAAAAGCAUGGCCUCUACUUAAGGCAAGCCAUUAUCAGAAAUUUCUGCCCACAACUUAAUUAAUACUAACCUAAUACAACACUCAAGAUAAGAGU